UACGUAGGGGGCUAGUGUUGUCCGGAAUCAUUGGGCGUAAAGCGCGUGUAGGCGGUUCGGUAAGUCCGCUGUGAAAGUCGGGGGCUCAACCCUCGGAUGCCGGUGGAUACUGUCGGGCUUGAGUACGGAAGAGGCGAGUGGAAUUCCUGGUGUAGCGGUGAAAUGCGCAGAUAUCAGGAGGAACACCAAUUGCGAAGGCAGCUCGCUGGGACGUUACUGACGCUGAGACGCGAAAGCGUGGGGAGCAAACAGG
rnacentral:rRNA from 1 species